rnacentral:snRNA from 1 species
GAAUGUAAGGACAGUCUGGCUGUGACAUCUGUCACCUUCAUGAUAGCCAGUAUUAAUUCAGCUGAUCUUUCUACUAGGAUGGUGUUCUCUUCCUUUCUCACUACUCCAGGUACAUUUUUCCCCAAGCUGACUUGCUUGGUCAGUUGGUCUUUGCCUUUGAGCGGUUAGAAAGACGCAUUCUAUUGACUAGACAUCAUCCCAUUUCUAUUGAGUACUUUGGGCACUUUGAGCAAAAUU